UCAGCCACAUCCAUGCUAUCUCCUAAAGCAGUCAUUCUGAAACCCAAUCUGGGGACAGUGCAGACUAAAUAAAAUUUCAUUUUGAUUUGGCCUCCCGCUGAGAAUGGGACUGCUUUGUUUCAGCCGACAGAACCAGCAAGCCAGAAAGGUGUUGAAUACACAAAUACUGACUUAACGGACAAUUAUAGACAUGGAAAAUCCUGUAUGUACUGUAUGCAGUUUGCGUCAUUCAGCAUCCGGUCAACAAGGACAAUACUUCAGAUUUUUCAUAAGAGUGGCUGUACUGGAGCACUUCAGACUGGAGACAUUUGUACAGAACAGGAUAUCCCUCCCCUGCUCAGAAGGGAAUGGAUCCCCUUUUAGAUCUGCCAGCCCAGAUGCCUUGAUCACCUUACAGUAUCUCAAAGGAUGAAAGACAGAUAUGUCCCCAGUGACCAUGACCAUGAGAAAGAUUCUUGCACAAGGACAUUUGAAAUGAUGAAAGAAGCAAUAUAGUUGGGAUGUUCAAACUUUCAUAACCUGCCUUCAUAUUAAGCAAGAAACACCUCUUUAAAACACGUAUUAUGGGAUCAGAUGAACAUGUCCUUCAGACUUUGAGAAGUAUUUAAAACGCUCCAGUAGGUGAAGAUUUGGAUUUGGCUUGCUUGAUGCUGGACGAUUAAUGAAGGAAGCCCUAACUGGACAAAUGUUGGUCUCCUGAGAAAAUGUGUUGUUGAUAACAGAAAAGGAUUGAAAAUAAGACGUGGAUUUUCGUCUUCAAUGAACUCUAGUUACCAGUGAAAGUGAAAACCAGCUAAUUUUGAUGGUGCAACUGACCUCCUUCUCAGCAAUAUCUGAGUAUACAUUCCCUGUUGAAAUGGCAAAGUAUUGCUGAAUUCAUAGAUAAGAGCAAGCUUCUUAACUGUGAAUGUGAAGAGAGGAAGCAAGCAAAACUGAAGAGAACUGAAAAAGAAGUGUGAAUUGUUUUGCUGUCAUUAUAGCCUACAGCAUUGUAUUGGGUCCCAAUUUAGGAUCGAUUAGUGAAUAGAUAUGUAAAAGACAGAGACAUCUUUAUUCAACAAAGAACAAAUGUUUCAGAGGAAAUAAAGAUUUUUUUUUUUAAAGCACGCAGAAUACUUUCUCAAACAUUGAAUAAUGACAAUACUAGAGUAGGAGCUUAAUUUCAUCUUCUACUUUCAGACCUUUUCAUUGGAACAGUACUAUGGACAGAUCCAAACAAUAAUGUUCUUGAUCUUCUCAAGUGUUACCUCAGUAUUAGUAUUGCUAUUUUCCUUUUAAAGUGAAUCACGUGAGAGAAAUCACUCAGUUAUAAAAGUUAAAGGUUCAUCUUCUGUGCCUCCCUUCUGUACUUAAACCAGAUUUGGACAUUUGAAUGUUCAUGCAAAUUGCGGCAUCUUUCAGAGUUGUGCACUUUACAUUAAAAGCCAUUUUGCUAAUUGUAGAGGUAAAAGAUAUCAUCACCUUUGUUUAACCAUGAAAGUGCUGAUUUUCAAAUUACUUGAAGUUUUAAUUAUUGUGAUUAUAAUUCAGUGCUGCCUCCAUGACAUUUUACAUGCAGAAGUUACUUCAGUGUAAACCACUUGGGAUAACAGGCAGAAAUAUAUAGGUUUGUCUCUGCAUAUUCAUAGUAUCUGGAUGAUAUAUUGGAAAUUGAGAGGCCAGGAACAUCCUUUGCUGUGGUGUGUCUCCAUGGAUGUCCAUGAUACAUUUCCUUUCUCCCCUACAUUGCAAAGCACAAGCACUAGUGGAAUGGACUAGAAGAGGCAGAAAGAGAAGUGAAUACAGUGAAAAAAAUAGUGGCAAAAAUCAAACAUUAAAUAUUUCCUCUAAUUGAGGUGGACAGAGGUGGACAUUAUAUUCAACCAAACAUCCAAAUCUUCCACCACAGAUCAGGACUAAGGCCCAGAUGACUUCAUUUUUUUGUUUCAUUUCUCUCCAUAGAAAUUAACCAGCCCGUUAUUCCCUGUUUAUUAAAUAAUGUAUUACCAUCACUAAUAGACUAGGCAAAUGGCUUUGGUUUAUCUGAACACUGUAAUAUUUUGCUGUAAACAUAUAAAUAUAGUAUCCAUUUAUCCUAUACUUGUUCCCAAUGUCUUUAAAAACCAAGUAAUUUUACAGGAAAACUUUGACCAAACCUAACCUAACACAAUUCAAACAAUGAGCUCAAUACUGGCACAAAUCCCAUCCAUUAAAAAAGUCAGUAGCAUUACAUUUUCUUUUAAAAUUUGAGUGACAAUGACAGAAAUUCAAGAGAUGGGCAAUAAGGACCAUGUGGUUCCUCCUCUUCAAGGCUUUCAUCCAGAGCCUUAAGUUAAUAUAUUUCCUUUUAUUUCAAUAGGCUUUGCAUUACUCAGAAAUUAUUGAAAAUUGAAUGCCUGGUGGUAGAAUGCAUGUAUGGAAUGCACCACCACCUGGAACAUCAAAGACAGAUUCCUGUUCUCACAGGAUCUGCUAGGUGAGAAGUCAUGGCAGAUCAGGAAAAUGUCCAGUCACAUCAGAGCACUCAGGCAUCCUCCAGAGGCCAAACAUUACUCUUGUAAACAAUUAUUUCUACACUAACCUAGAUUUUCCAUCUCUACUUCGAGCAGAUAGAUAGAUUUUAUUCUUACAUUCUGUAAGAUUAGAUCCUAACUCCCCUAGUGUAAGUUUUAGGAGUUGUGAGAGAAAGAUUAAGAGACAGUAUCACCAUGUGAUAACACCACUCUUGGAACAGAUGAUCUCAGAUUCCUUUAUUUGUCUUAAAAUCUUACAUUAUAAAUGCCCACACAAAAAUUCACAUUGAAAUUGGGAGGAACCAGUUCAGAAAAACGAGUGAUGAGGAUUAGUACGUGGCAGUCUAUCCAUAUGGUCAUGUAACUGCUUACCUCUGGGUAGCCAGCUUUCCCAUCAGAGUAGUGGAUUUAUUUUCCAGAUGCCACAGGAUUUCCAUUUCACCAAAAGAGAAUGGAGGAAAAGAAAGAUGAAGUGAUUUGCCUGGCUAAUGGAGGCCUAGAAGGAACCAGAUCUCCUUGGCUCUUGCAUAGAGGCUGUCCUUUUUCUGCCUGUGAUGUGGAAGAAACAUACACGUUAUCAAGCAACUGCAAAAGACUUUCACCUGUUUUUGUUCUGAGUGACAGAGCCCAGAGGAUGAUGGGCAAGUUUCCCACUGCUCUGCAGGGAUGUAGCUGAUCCAAUUCCCAGCCCCAGCGCACCUGCAAGGUCUCAUUGAUCGUCUGUUCAGGUCUCUGACAACUCAGAAAUCUAUUAUCAGUGUGAGCAUGUGCUUAUUGAUCACAUUACCUGCUCCCACUCCUUGUGUGUACUUAAUUGGACUGAUCACACGCAUAAACAUGCACACACGUAUGCAUAUAUAUUGCCAUGUCGUAUAUAUUAGCAUACAUGCACAGGGGUGGGUGUGCUAAAGGCGUUAUAUAUUUUUCCUGCUUUACAAAAUUGCACGCAAAUAAAAAGAACGGACCUUCUCCGUGAAACGUGAGCACAGAAACACUCGCAAGUGGCCAAGAGCUGCUAAAUAAUUAAUCAAUAGAGCAGUGUGGCAGUUUGAAAUGUAAAUGUGAUGGAUGAAGGUGUGAUGCUUGUCAUCAAGCAGAAAAUGAUGUGACUGGAAUGGAUAACCCGCGGUACCUGCUGACUGGCAAAAGCUUGGACACAAAGAUAAAGUAAAGCCAUCAGAAAGCAGCCCCAGCAACCCCUAAUUCUUGACUUUGACCCACAAUUCACUUUCAUGUCCCUGUCCCAGAAGAGAUGUUUAAAAAAAUGAUGAAGAGAGAUCUUCGGGUGGGAAAGGGGAGAAAAAAAAACAUCUGAAGAAAUGCUACCUGACAAGGCUGCGGGCUACAUUCCUGAGAACACCUUUCUUUUCUUUAUGUUCUCCUUCUUCUGUUAAAUAAAAAUGCAGCUCCUUUUUUCCCUCUCCUUUCUUCCAAAACUCUCUCGAGCCGUACCUGCAAGUGGUUCCGUGACUCGGAAGCUGACAACAGCCGCAUGCAAAGGAACAAAGCACGAUAGUGACAAUUCAGAGUGCAAGCAGGUGAGAAAGAUACCUUUUACUUAUCAAACUAGGCUGUAAAAAAUGCUCUUUUUACUCAGUGAGCUAGAAAUAGAGGUGAUCUAACAAGGCACUGAUCCAAAUUCUUUAUUUGUGCGGAGAUGUAAUGCUAACAGGAUUUGUAGGUUGACUAGUAGUCUGUGGCCCCUCCAGUCAAGUAAGGAAGCGUUCCUCUGAUUUGGAAAGAGGAGAAUUCAUAUAAUUACCCUGUAAUAUAUGACAGGAAAAUGUAUGCCAUGGUGACAAAGGGUGACAGAAAAUGUCCAUCAACAAC